rnacentral:rRNA from 1 species
AUUGAACGCUGGCGGCGUGCUUAACACAUGCAAGUCGAACGGAGUGGCGAACGGGUGAGUAACACGUGGGUGAUCUGCCUUGCACUUCGGGAUAAGCUUGGGAAACUGGGUCUAAUACCGGAUAGUGCAAGAUGAGCUCGCGGCCUAUCAGCUUGUUGGUGGGGUAAGGGCCUACCAAGGCGUCGACGGGUAGCCGGCCUGAGAGGGUGUACGGCCACAUUGGGACUGGGGUACGGCCCAGACUCCUACGGGAGGCAGCGGUGGGGGAUAUUGCGCAAGGGGCGGAGGCCUGAAGCAGCGACGCCGGGUGGGGGAUGAAGGCCUUCGGGUUGUAAACUCCUUUCGACAGGGACGCGGUACCUGUAUAAGAAGCACCGGCUAACUACGUGCCAGCAGCCGCGGUAAUAC